GAGGUAAAUAGCAUAGAAAAAAUUGGGAGCAACUCCCUUUUUGUCACACAAAUCACAAGUCCUUCAUAAGGAACCAAUGGGUGGGAGUUUGAAAGGGAUAAGGACUCUGAGUUUGAAUCAAAUUCAAAACUUCAAACAAAACCAACCCUACCUAUCCCUAAUGGGUGACAACUAGAGGCUUUGGCAUGGAAUAUUAAUUGCACAAACCAAUUUAUGCGAUGAAAUAAUGCAUGG
rnacentral:lncRNA from 1 species